CCUACGGGUGGCAGCAGUGGGGAAUAUUGCACAAUGGGGGAAACCCUGAUGCAGCGACGCCGCGUGAGUGAAGAAGUAUUUCGGUAUGUAAAGCUCUAUCAGCCGGGAAGAAAAUGACGGUACCUGAUUAAGAAGCCCCGGCUUACUACGUGACAGCAGCCACGGUAAGACGUUGGGGGCAAGCGUUAUACGGAUUUACUGGGUGGAAAGGGAGCGUAGACGGCAGCACCAGUCUGGAGUGAAAUGCCGGGGCUUAACCCCGGAACUGCUUUGGAAACUGUGCCGCUAGGGUGCAGGAGAGGUAAGUGGAAUUCCUAGUGUAGCGGUGAAAUGCGUAGAUAUUAGGAGGAACACCAGUUGCGAAGGCGGCUUACUGGACUGUAACUGACGUUGAGGCUCGAAAGCGUGGGGAGCAAACAGGAUUAGAUACCCGAGUAGUC
rnacentral:rRNA from 1 species